UACGAAGGGAGCUAGCGUUGUUCGGAAUCACUGGGCGUAAAGCGCACGUAGGCGGAUGUGUCAGUCAGGGGUGAAAUCCCGGAGCUCAACUUCGGAACUGCCUUUGAUACAGCACAUCUGGAGUCCGGAAGAGGUGGGUGGAAUUCCUAGUGUAGAGGUGAAAUUCGUAGAUAUUAGGAAGAACACCGGUGGCGAAGGCGGCCCACUGGCUCGACACUGACGCUGAGGUGCGAAAGCGUGGGGAGCGAACAGG
rnacentral:rRNA from 1 species